rnacentral:misc_RNA from 1 species
UUAACUAUUUAAUAGUACUCAGACGACACUAACAUUCAGAGUUUAGGGGUCCUCUGGCGGGCACGCCGGACGCGAAUCCAGGCGUGCUAGGCACGCGGCCCGCCAAAGCAACAUUCUAUAAUGAUACACAAGGGUGGGAGAUCUACCCCGAAGGGCAUGAACUCUGUAAUGAUCCUUCCGCAGGUUCACCUACGGAAA